GACUUUUGUGCUUGCACAAAAUGAUUAGUGGCGAACGGGUGAGUAACACGUGAGUAACCUGCCCUUAACUUCGGGAUAAGCCUGGGAAACCGGGUCUAAUACCGGAUACGACGGACCACCGCAUGGCGGUCCGUGGAAAGCUUGAUGCGGUUUUGGAUGGACUCGCGGCCUAUCAGCUAGUUGGUUGGGGUAAUGGCCCACCAAGGCGACGACGGGUAGCCGGCCUGAGAGGGUGACCGGCCACACUGGGACUGAGACACGGCCCAGACUCCUACGGGAGGCAGCAGUGGGGAAUAUUGCACAAUGGGCGAAAGCCUGAUGCAGCGACGCCGCGUGAGGGACGAAGGCCUUCGGGUUGUAAACCUCUUUCAGCAGGGAAGAAGCGAAAGUGACGGUACCUGCAGAAGAAGCGCCGGCUAACUACGUGCCAGCAGCCGCGGUAAUACGUAGGGCGCAAGCGUUAUCCGGAAUUAUUGGGCGUAAAGAGCUCGUAGGCGGUUUGUCGCGUCUGCUGUGAAAGCCCGGGGCUCAACCCCGGGUCUGCAGUGGGUACGGGCAGACUAGAGUGCAGUAGGGGAGACUGGAAUUCCUGGUGUAGCGGUGAAAUGCGCAGAUAUCAGGAGGAACACCGAUGGCGAAGGCAGGUCUCUGGGCUGUAACUGACGCUGAGGAGCGAAAGCAUGGGGAGCGAACAGGAUUAGAUACCCUGGUAGUCCAUGCCGUAAACGUUGGGCACUAGGUGUGGGGGACAUUCCACGUUUUCCGCGCCGUAGCUAACGCAUUAAGUGCCCCGCCUGGGGAGUACGGCCGCAAGGCUAA
rnacentral:rRNA from 1 species